rnacentral:rRNA from 1 species
GUGGGGAAUUUUGGACAAUGGGCGCAAGCCUGAUCCAGCAAUGCCGCGUGCAGGAAGAAGGCCUUCGGGUUGUAAACUGCUUUUGUACGGAACGAAACGGUCCGGGUUAAUACCCUGGGCUAAUGACGGUACCGUAAGAAUAAGCACCGGCUAACUACGUGCCAGCAGCCGCGGUAAUACGUAGGGUGCAAGCGUUAAUCGGAAUUACUGGGCGUAAAGCGUGCGCAGGCGGUUUUGUAAGACAGGCGUGAAAUCCCCGGGCUCAACCUGGGAACUGCAUUUGUGACUGCAAGGCUAGAGUACGGCAGAGGGGGAUGGAAUUCCGCGUGUAGCAGUGAAAUGCGUAGAUAUGCGGAGGAACACCAAUGGCGAAGGCAAUCCCCUGGGCCUGUACUGACGCUCAUGCACGAAAGCGUGGGGAGCAAACAGGAUUAGAAACCCGGGUAGUCC